AUGGAAAAGAUUUUGUUAACAUUACAGUUAGACCAGAGCCCUAUGUCAACAAGGCUCCUAUUGUUAUCAUAUCCCCCAGUACUAACAUCACUAUUAAACCUUCCGAUAAACUAAUACUAGACGCCUCAAAAACAAGUGACGAUAUAUAUGGACCCAAAGGAGAGACCCUGUUUUACCAGUGGGAUUUAAUCA